UGCACCAUGGUUAGAUAAAGUGAGAGAGAAGUGUUUAUUUAGUUUAGAAUGUGGAUAUUUUUCUUACAAAACUGCAUGAAUUUGCUACAGGAGGGCUGAGGGGUUUUCUGAGAUUGGGCUGCUUGUACUAAUGCUUCAAAGAAUAAUGGAAGGAAAAUCUAAAGGGAAAUGUCUUAUAUUGGAUGAAAACAAGUUCCAGCAUGACUCAUUUAUCAAAUGGUAUGACAUGCACAAUACUGUUCCACCGUAUGGCUUGAUAUGACUGUUAAUCUGAUCGAUCUGUGGCAGGCUGUCUUGAAAUAAGCUCAUUCUUGUGGUAGAGUCUACUCGCUGCAACAUGGCAGUCUUAUUGAAGUUAUUGAAUUUUUGCUGAAUAGUGUCACAGAACACUGAUAAAGCUCUGAUAUUGCCAUUUUAUGAUGUUACAAAGCAAAAAUCUCAUUUGAUGUUUGUCUUUGCCAAGACACUUUCACCAGCACAUAUAUGUCCAAAAUUGCCAUUUAAAGUCUCAAUCAUUUACAUUGCUGCACCAUUUUGCUCAUUUCUAGGACAAAAUCUUUUUUUUUUUUCAUGGUCUUCCUUUUACAGUACUUCCAACCAUUAACCAUAAUUGUAAAGCAUUACUGCAAACAUGAUCAUCAAACGUGUGUUACCUCAAAGUAAACAAGUAAAAAGAUAAUUGUGAUUUUUAUCUUGUAUAACUGCAAUUUUAUUUCUCAUACCUGGGACUAUAUCUCAAAGCUGCACAUUGCUUUUUUUUAAUUAACGGUUCUUAAUUAGAAUUUUAUAAUCAUGAUUUUCUCAUAAUUGCAACUUAAUUUCUUGUAAUUGCAAAAUUAUGUUUUUAUUCACUUUUUUGUACUCUAUAGAAAAAUGGGUUUCAUUAUUUUUAAGUGGGUUGUAUUAUUUUUUAAUUACUGUUACUCAUUUCUUUUAUUAUUUGAAAAGCCUUUUCAUAGAAAGCCACUGAACAUUAUUUAUCUUGUAUAAUCUACUAAUGUACUAUUUUACCACUUACAUAAACAGUUCUUUUAGGCAUCUUACUUUUUUCACAAUAGUUCUCCCUGGUGUGUUACUGUGUGUUUGUCUGGCAGGAAGUUCAUGCGGAGGUAACUCUUUUUUUAUUCAAUUCAUAUGUUUUUUUUUCUGUUUGUAUCACUCUUUCAGCUUGUCAUCCAGGCAGUAUGAUUAAUUUUUUAUUUGUCCUGCUUGUUGGUGUUUUGGGUUUCUUCAUGUUGUCAAACCAAAACACAUCUAAAUCAAUGUUCCUCUCUGUGAAGAUGGCUGACAGUUCUAUUCUGGUCACUUCUUCUUUAACUUCCCUUAGCAGAGAAAGAGAAUCCAGCUCAAAACUGUUAAUACAAACACAUUGUGCUCUUUUAAAGUUUGCAGAAGCUUAUUUGACUUCUGUGAAUGUACCAAAAUCGGUCUGU